rnacentral:rRNA from 1 species
AGCGAACGCUGGCGGCAGGCUUAACACAUGCAAGUCGAGCGGGCACUUUCGGGUGUCAGCGGCGGACGGGUGAGUAACGCGUGGGAACGUGCCCUCUGGUUCGGAAUAACUCAGGGAAACUUGAGCUAAUACCGGAUACGCCCUUUUGGGGAAAGGCUUGCUGCCGGAGGAUCGGCCCGCGUCUGAUUAGCUAGUUGGUGAGGUAACGGCUCACCAAGGCGACGAUCAGUAGCUGGUCUGAGAGGAUGAUCAGCCACACUGGGACUGAGACACGGCCCAGACUCCUACGGGAGGCAGCAGUGGGGAAUAUUGGACAAUGGGCGCAAGCCUGAUCCAGCCAUGCCGCGUGAGUGAUGAAGUCCUUAGGGUUGUAAAGCUCUUUUAUCCGGGACGAUAAUGACGGUACCGGAGGAAUAAGCCCCGGCUAACUUCGUG